rnacentral:rRNA from 1 species
AGAGUUUGAUCAUGGCUCAGAUUGAACGCUGGCGGCAGGCCUAACACAUGCAAGUCGAACGGUAACAGGAAGCAGCUUGCUGCUUCGCUGACGAGUGGCGGACGGGUGAGUAAUGUCUGGGAAACUGCCUGAUGGAGGGGGAUAACUACUGGAAACGGUAGCUAAUACCGCAUAAUGUCGCAAGACCAAAGAGGGGGACCUUAGGGCCUCUUGCCAUCGGAUGUGCCCAGAUGGGAUUAGCUUGUUGGUGGGGUAACGGCUCACCAAGGCGACGAUCCCUAGCUGGUCUGAGAGGAUGACCAGCCACACUGGAACUGAGACACGGUCCAGACUCCUACGGGAGGCAGCAGUGGGGAAUAUUGCACAAUGGGCGCAAGCCUGAUGCAGCCAUGCCGCGUGUAUGAAGAAGGCCUUCGGGUUGUAAAGUACUUUCAGCGGGGAGGAAGGGAGUAAAGUUAAUACCUUUGCUCAUUGACGUUAUCCGCAGAAGAAGCACCGGCUAACUCCGUGCCAGCAGCCGCGGUAAUACGGAGGGUGCAAGCGUUAAUCGGAAUUACUGGGCGUAAAGCGCACGCAGGCGGUUUGUUAAGUCAGAUGUGAAAUCCCCGGGCUCAACCUGGGAACUGCAUCUGAUACUGGCAAGCUUGAGUCUCGUAGAGGGGGGUAGAAUUCCAGGUGUAGCGGUGAAAUGCGUAGAGAUCUGGAGGAAUACCGGUGGCGAAGGCGGCCCCCUGGACGAAGACUGACGCUCAGGUGCGAAAGCGUGGGGAGCAAACAGGAUUAGAUACCCUGGUAGUCCACGCCGUAAACGAUGUCGACUUGGAGGUUGUGCCCUUGAGGCGUGGCUUCCGGAGCUAACGCGUUAAGUCGACCGCCUGGGGAGUACGGCCGCAAGGUUAAAACUCAAAUGAAUUGACGGGGGCCCGCACAAGCGGUGGAGCAUGUGGUUUAAUUCGAUGCAACGCGAAGAACCUUACCUGGUCUUGACAUCCACGGAAGUUUUCAGAGAUGAGAAUGUGCCUUCGGGAACCGUGAGACAGGUGCUGCAUGGCUGUCGUCAGCUCGUGUUGUGAAAUGUUGGGUUAAGUCCCGCAACGAGCGCAACCCUUAUCCUUUGUUGCCAGCGGUCCGGCCGGGAACUCAAAGGAGACUGCCAGUGAUAAACUGGAGGAAGGUGGGGAUGACGUCAAGUCAUCAUGGCCCUUACGACCAGGGCUACACACGUGCUACAAUGGCGCAUACAAAGAGAAGCGACCUCGCGAGAGCAAGCGGACCUCAUAAAGUGCGUCGUAGUCCGGAUUGGAGUCUGCAACUCGACUCCAUGAAGUCGGAAUCGCUAGUAAUCGUGGAUCAGAAUGCCACGGUGAAUACGUUCCCGGGCCUUGUACACACCGCCCGUCACACCAUGGGAGUGGGUUGCAAAAGAAGUAGGUAGCUUAACCUUCGGGAGGGCGCUUACCACUUUGUGAUUCAUGACUGGGGUGAAGUCGUAACAAGGUAACCGUAGGGGAACCUGCGGUUGGAUCACCU